UACGUAGGUGGCAAGCGUUAUCCGGAAUUACUGGGCGUAAAGCGUGCGUAGACGGUUAUUUAAGUCGGGUGUGAAAGCCCCGGGCUCAACCUGGGAAUUGCAUUCGAGACUGAAUAGCUAGGGUACGGUAGAGGGAAGUGGAAUUUCCGGUGUAGCGGUGAAAUGCGUAGAUAUCGGAAGGAACAUCAGUGGCGAAAGCGACUUCCUGGACCAGUACCGACGUUCAGGCACGAAAGCGUGGGGAGCAAACAGG
rnacentral:rRNA from 1 species